AGUGAACGCUGGCGGUAGGCCUAACACAUGCAAGUCGAACGGCAGCACAGUAAGAGCUUGCUCUUACGGGUGGCGAGUGGCGGACGGGUGAGGAAUACAUCGGAAUCUACUUUUUCGUGGGGGAUAACGUAGGGAAACUUACGCUAAUACCGCAUACGACCUACGGGUGAAAGCAGGGGAUCUUCGGACCUUGCGCGAUUGAAUGAGCCGAUGUCGGAUUAGCUAGUUGGCGGGGUAAAGGCCCACCAAGGCGACGAUCCGUAGCUGGUCUGAGAGGAUGAUCAGCCACACUGGAACUGAGACACGGUCCAGACUCCUACGGGAGGCAGCAGUGGGGAAUAUUGGACAAAGGGCGCUAGCCUGAUCCAGCCAUACUGCGUGGGUGAAGAAGGCCUUCGGGUUGUAAAGCCCUUUUGUUGGGAAAGAAAAGCAGCAGGUUAAUACCCCGCUGUUCUGACGGUACCCAAAGAAUAAGCACCGGCUAACUUCGUG
rnacentral:rRNA from 1 species